UCGCAUGGCCUUGCGCCGGCGAUGGUUCAUUCAAAUUUCUUCCCUAUCAACUUUCGAUGCGAAGGUAUUGUCUUCGCAUGGUUGCAACGGGUAACGGAGGGUUAGGGCUCGACCCCGGAGAAGGAGCCUGAGAAACGGCUACUACAUCCAAGGAAGGCAGCAGGCGCGCAAAUUACCCAAUCCCGACACGGGGAGGUAGUGACAAUAAAUACUGAUACAGGGCUCUUUUGGGUCUUGUAAUCGGAAUGAGUACAAUUUAAAUCCCUUAACGAGGAACAAUUGGAGGGCAAGUCUGGUGCCAGCAG
rnacentral:rRNA from 1 species